rnacentral:tRNA from 1 species
GCGUCCUUAGCUCAGAUGGAUAGAGCAACGGCCUUCUAAGCCGUAGGUCACAGGUUCGAAUCCUGUAGGACGUA